rnacentral:rRNA from 1 species
AUACGGAGGGGGCUAGCGUUGUUCGGAAUUACUGGGCGUAAAGCGCGCGUAGGCGGGUUUGCAAGUUGGGGGUGAAAUCCCGGGGCUUAACCCCGGAACUGCCCUCAAUACUGCCAGUCUUGAGUUCGAGAGAGGUAAGUGGAAUUCCUAGUGUAGAGGUGAAAUUCGUAGAUAUUAGGAAGAACACCAGUGGCGAAGGCGGCUUACUGGCUCGAUACUGACGCUGAGGCGCGAAAGCGUGGGGAGCAAACAGGAUUAGAAACCCCAGUAGUCC